AACACACGAUUCUCUCUCAUAAAUUAUUUUCUUUUUCUCUCUCUUUCUCCUCUCUCUCUUCGAGCAAAAUAGGCCGAAUCAUAGAUACAUGAAAGAGAAAUAAAUCAUGAAAGAAAGCCUCAAAAAAUCUCAAAAUCAGAAACAUGAAAGUAAACCUAUAACUAAAAAAGGAGACGAAGAUAUCUAGGGCGACAGACAUAUUGAAGAGAAAGAGGGAUUCUUAGCGAGGUAAGUAAGAGAGAAAAGAGGAAGAAACGGUCGAAUUGAAAGCCUUGUAAAUUAUAAUGGAAGAGGUAAUGAAGCGAUACAAGGAGUCUUCGCCAAAAGACGUCAUCUCCGAUGAACUUUCUUUUCUUUUUUGCUAUUUAGUCACAUAGAAUAAUAUAAAUACAUUGUAUUCUGUACAAUUUUC
rnacentral:lncRNA from 1 species